CUACGGGGUGCUGCAGUGGGGAAUAUUUCACAAUGGAGGAAACUCUGAUGCAGCAACGCCGCGUGGAGGAUGACACUUUUCGGAGCGUAAACUCCUUUUAUAUAGGAAGAAGAUGACGGUACUAUAUGAAUAAGCGCCGGCUAACUCCGUGCCAGCAGCCGCGGUAAUACGGAGGGCGCAAGCGUUACUCGGAAUCACUGGGCGUAAAGAGCGUGUAGGCGGAUUAAAAAGUCAGAAGUGAAAUCCUAUAGCUUAACUAUAGAACUGCUUCUGAAACUCUUAAUCUAGAAUAUGGGAGAGGUAGAUGGAAUUUCUGGUGUAGGGGUAAAAUCCGUAGAGAUCAGAAGGAAUACCGAUUGCGAAGGCGAUCUACUAGAUCAUUAUUGACGCUGAGACGCGAAAGCGUGGGGAGCAAACAGGAUUAGAUACCCUUGUAGUC
rnacentral:rRNA from 1 species